rnacentral:siRNA from 1 species
AUUCAUAACACUCCCCCUGAUGAC